UAGUAAUUUGUUUCUGUUUUACAAUCAGAACUUGCAUUUUGCAUUACUAA
rnacentral:tRNA from 1 species